UGUGAGGUUCUGAGGGGCAGCCGCUUGGUGCCCCAUGUACAAAGCAAUUUGGGGGGGUUCUCGGCCCAGGGACAGGGGUCCCUACCACAGGCACCGACUUUACAAUGUGCCACUUAACCCCCCCCCAUCUCUGACAGCCUCAGCGCAGGCUGGGCUCCCCACCACCAUGCUGGAAGGGGCGCCCGAGGGCAGGGGAGGGUGUCUGGAGGUCACACAGAAGAAUCAGUCUCCAGGACUCCCAAUCCAGCCCCAAGGCCUGGGAGACCCCCCCUCCCUGCAAUCGCUGGAGAUUGCUCUCCAUGGUGGGGGGCAGCCACCCAGGGUUUCUUGGGAUGAGCCCCAGUGAAUUCAUUUCAUGGAGACAGCAGCCAGGGGGCGGCACGGCCCUGGCUGGGCUCAAUUCUGCACGGCAAUGGAAUCCACCAGGGCAUCGAGAGCCCAGCUGGGGUGCCAGCCCCCAGGGCGCUGCAGAGGAAGUCAGAGAUUCCCCCCUCGCCCCACUUUGCAGGUCUGACAUAAGCACCCAAACGAGUAUUUGUGACCGUGCUGUAUUGAAGAAUGCUGGAACAUUUCACUUUACAAAGGUAUCCUCAUAUCCUGCUACAACAGUGACUGAAAGCUCAGGUUAAUGCUACUGAAGUAUUUUAGCCUAUUACUGUAGCAUUUUUGGACAGGUGCCUGUAGGAAAACACUCCAGGUUAUCGUAGUGUUACUGAAGUAUUUCGGGGUGUUGUAGUAUUCUAGGAUAUUGCUGUAGUCCUUUUAAAAGGGUAUAUU